AUUACCCAAUUCUGACACAGAGAGGUAGUGACAAAAAAUAACAAUACCUGGCUUUUCUAAGUCGGGAAUUGGAAUGAGUACAAUUUAAAUCCCUUAACGAGGAUCAAUUGGAGGGCAAGUCUGGUGCCAGCAGCCGCGGUAAUUCCAGCUCCAAGAGCGUAUAUUAAAGUUGUUGCAGUUAAAAAGCUCGUAGUUGGAUUUCUGGUACAACGCGCCUGGCCCGCAGUUACUGUGAGUGCCGGUGCGCGUUUGCCAUCCUUCUAGAAAACGUUUCUACCCGGGCAACUGGGCCGGAUUCGCGAUCUAGAUCUUUUACUUUGAAAAAAUUAGAGUGUUUAAAGCAGGCAAUUGCUGUGAAUACAUUAGCAUGGAAUAAUAAUCUAGGACUUCGGUUCUAUUUUGUUGGUCUCUAGUACUGAAGUAAUGAUUGAUAGGGAUAGUUGGGGGUGCUAGUAUUGGCCGGCCAGAGGUGAAAUUCUUGGAUUCGGUCAAGACUAACUUAUGCGAAAGCAUUCACCAAGGAUGUCUUCUUUAAUCAAGAACGAAAGUUGGGGGAUCGAAGACGAUCAGAUACCGUCGUAGUCUCAACCAUAAACUAUGCCAACUAGGGAUGGGUGAACGUUGUUUUUUUGACUUCAUCUGCACCUUAUGAGAAAUCAAAGUCUUUGGGUUCCGGGGGGAGUAUGGUCGCAAGGCUGAAACUUAAAGGAAUUGACGGAAGGGCACCACCAGGAGUGGAGCCUGCGGCUUAAUUUGACUCAACACGGGAAAACUUACCAGGUCCGGACAUAGUGAGGAU
rnacentral:rRNA from 1 species